UACGGGGGGGGCAAGCGUUGUUCGGAAUUACUGGGCGUAAAGGGCUCGUAGGCGGCCAACUAAGUCAUACGUGAAAUCCCUCGGCUUAACCGGGGAACUGCGUCUGAUACUGGAUGGCUUGAGAUUGGGAGAGGGAUGCGGAAUUCCAGGUGUAGCGGUGAAAUGCGUAGGUAUCUGGAGGAACACCGGUGGCGAAGGCGGCAUCCUGGACCAACACUGACGCUGAGGAGCGAAAGCCAGGGGAGCAAACGGG
rnacentral:rRNA from 1 species